UAAAGUGACGUUUUCCAAUCGUAUUUUCUUAAUUAUCUUAAUCAUUGUUUUUUCAGUUUUUAAACAAAAUGUAAACUAUACGAACAUUAACAUUCAGUAUUUCAACAUGAACUUAUCUCUUUCCGAAAAUGUUGAUUAAAAAUGUGCCCACUUUGAAUAGUGAUUCUCCUAUUUCAUUUUAAGCUAGCAUUUGUUUUCAUUGAAUUUCUUAAUGUAAAAAUAUGACUUCGGACAGUGAGAACCCAAAUUCAAGUGCUAGACAAAAACGUCUAAUUGUGUAUGAGGAUUCCUCUAGUGACAGCUCGAUAGGAAAUCCACCCAGAAAAAGGAAAACUUUGUAUUUACAAGAAUCAGAUUCAGAAUCGGAUAGUGAUUCUUCAAAUGGAAGCGAUAAUGAGGAAGGUGUAGAUCAGGCGUCCGAAAGUUCCAAUUCUGAGAUUGUUCGAAGAGUAAAGAAGAAGGCAAAAAUUGAAUCCGACAAUGAUAGCAGCGAGUCAGACCAAGAAAA